GAUCAUGGCUCAGGAUGAACGCUGGCUACAGGCUUAACACAUGCAAGUCGAGGGGCAGCAUGGUCUUAGCUUGCUAAGGCCGAUGGCGACCGGCGCACGGGUGAGUAACGCGUAUCCAACCUGCCUUACACUCUUGGACAGCCUUCUGAAAGGGAGAUUAAUACAAGAUGUUAUCAUGAGUAAGCAUUUUCGCAUGAUUAAAGGUUUACCGGUGUAAGAUGGGGAUGUCG
rnacentral:rRNA from 1 species